rnacentral:rRNA from 1 species
UACGUAGGGUGCAAGCGUUAAUCGGAAUUACUGGGCGUAAAGCGUGCGCAGGCGGUUAUGUAAGACAGAGGUGAAAUCCCGGGCUCAACCUGGGGACUGCCUUUGUGACUGCAUAGCUAGAGUACGGCAGAGGGGGAUGGAAUUCCGCGUGUAGCAGUGAAAUGCGUAGAUAUGCGGAGGAACACCGAUGGCGAAGGCAAUCCCCUGGGCCUGUACUGACGCUCAUGCACGAAAGCGUGGGGAGCAAACAGGAUUAGAAACCCCGGGUAU